rnacentral:rRNA from 1 species
AUUGAACGCUGGCGGCAGGCUUAACACAUGCAAGUCGAACGAUGAUUAUCUAGCUUGCUAGAUAUGAUUAGUGGCGGACGGGUGAGUAACAUUUAGGAAUCUGCCUAGUAGUGGGGGAUAGCUCGGGGAAACUCGAAUUAAUACCGCAUACGACCUACGGGUGAAAGGGGGCGCAAGCUCUUGCUAUUAGAUGAGCCUAAAUCAGAUUAGCUAGUUGGUGGGGCAAAGGCCCACCAAGGCGACGAUCUGUAACUGGUCUGAGAGGAUGAUCAGUCACACCGGAACUGAGACACGGUCCGGACUCCUACGGGAGGCAGCAGUGGGGAAUAUGGACAAUGGGGGCAACCCUGAUCCAGCCAUGCCGCGUGUGUGAAGAAGGCCUUUUGGUUGUAAAGCACUUUAAGCAGUGAGGAGAGGCUAAUGGUUAAUACCCAUUAGAUUAGACGUUACCUGCAGAAUAAGCACCGGCUAACUCUGUGCCAGCAGCCGCGGUAAUACAGAGGGUGCGAGCGUUAAUCGGAAUUACUGGGCGUAAAGCGAGUGUAGGUGGCUCAUUAAGUCACAUGUGAAAUCCCCGGGCUUAACCCGGGAACUGCAUGUGAUACUGGUGGUGCUAGAAUAUGUGAGAGGGAAGUAGAAUUCCAGGUGUAGCGGUGAAAUGCGUAGAGAUCUGGAGGAAUACCGAUGGCGAAGGCAGCUUCCUGGCAUAAUAUUGACACUGAGAUUCGAAAGCGUGGGUAGCAAACAGGAUUAGAUACCCUGGUAGUCCACGCCGUAAACGAUGUCUACUAGCCGUUGGGGUCCUUGAGACUUUAGUGGCGCAGUUAACGCGAUAAGUAGACCGCCUGGGGAGUACGGCCGCAAGGUUAAAACUCAAAUGAAUUGACGGGGGCCCGCACAAGCGGUGGAGCAUGUGGUUUAAUUCGAUGCAACGCGAAGAACCUUACCUGGUCUUGACAUAGUGAGAAUCCUGCAGAGAUGCGGGAGUGCCUUCGGGAAUUCACAUACAGGUGCUGCAUGGCUGUCGUCAGCUCGUGUCGUGAGAUGUUGGGUUAAGUCCCGCAACGAGCGCAACCCUUUUCCUUAUUUGCCAGCGGGUUAAGCCGGGAACUUUAAGGAUACUGCCAGUGACAAACUGGAGGAAGGCGGGGACGACGUCAAGUCAUCAUGGCCCUUACGACCAGGGCUACACACGUGCUACAAUGGUAGGUACAGAGGGUUGCUACACAGCGAUGUGAUGCUAAUCUCAAAAAGCCUAUCGUAGUCCGGAUUGGAGUCUGCAACUCGACUCCAUGAAGUCGGAAUCGCUAGUAAUCGCAGAUCAGAAUGCUGCGGUGAAUACGUUCCCGGGCCU